rnacentral:rRNA from 1 species
AAAAUUGGCGGUAUUUAACUCUGAUUAGGGGAAUUUGUUUUUUGAAUGAUAAUCCUCAAGAUACCUUACUUUAUUUAGAAACUUAUUUAUUGCCGUUAACAGGUUAUUUUAAAAGAAAAAAAAUUUCCUAUAUUAUUAAUAAAAAAUUAUUUCAGGUCAUUAUGUAGUUAUUUAUGAUAAAGUUAAAAUGAAUUACAAUAAAUUUUAUUUAAUUAAUGGAUAUUAAAUUGAAAUUUUUAAUUGAAAGUGGACUUAAUAGUAAUUUUAAAUAUUAAAUUAUUA